rnacentral:lncRNA from 1 species
CCUUUUAACCAGCACUUUUUCUUAGCUUUGGCCGUUUGCCCGAAGCGUUCCAACAAACACCCCUCCCAGCCAAUAGUAGCCUGCCACGCAUACCCUCUGUUAGCUACUAGUAGUUUUAUUUUUUUUCUGUCUAUAUUACAAAAACAGAAACUUCUUGUUUUGUUUUGGCCCCAACUUUUUAUCCCGAAGUCCAAUGACAUUGAUUCUUUCUCCAGUAACUCACAAAUUCCCUGUAGUUUUUAAAAACAUAUAAUUUGUCUAUGUUUGAAAUUUUCAAAUAUAAGUUAGAGCAGAUUUAGUUUAAACCUUGUUUUGCCUAUUCCAGGAGUUUGCAAAACGAUUUUGAGUUGAUUCUUUUUGCUACUGCUUUCUAGUGAUAAAAUCUUACUGUGGUAGAAGUUUCAGAAUUUUUAAAGUAUUUUUACUGGUGUUUUCAACAGAAACAAGUUUCUGCCAUACCGGCGCACGUUGAAUUCUUUCGCGUAGUCUUUAGCAAAUCCUUGCAUUUGAUGUUAUUUUUACUUGUGGCUUGAUUGAAGUGCUUAUGGUCUGCUUUGUGUUUGUAUCGGUAGAUCAUCCGGAGUGCGAAGCGUGUUACUUAGAAGCGCUC